rfam:Rhizobium sp. Root1212 contig_2, whole genome shotgun sequence.
CUUCCUCGAUCUGCUGCGGGCAGAUGUAGUGGAUGUGGCUGUCCAUGCCGCCGGCGGUGAUGAUCUUGCCUUCGCCGGCAAUAACCUCGGUGCCCGGACCGACGAUGAUAUCGAUGCCCGGCUGGGUAUCCGGGUUGCCGGCCUUACCGAUCGCCGCGAUCAGCCCGUCCCGGAGGCCGAUAUCGGCCUUGACGAUGCCCCAGUGGUCGAGGAUCAGCGCAUUGGUGAUGACGGUAUCGACGGCGCCGCCGGCGCGCGUGACCUGGCUCUGGCCCAUGCCGUCGCGAAUG